rnacentral:rRNA from 1 species
CCUACGGGAGGCAGCAGUGGGGAAUUUUGGACAAUGGGCGCAAGCCUGAUCCAGCAAUGCCGCGUGAGUGAAGAAGGCCUUCGGGUUGUAAAGCUCUUUUGUCAGGGAAGAAACGGUGGGGGCUAAUAUCUCCUACUAAUGACGGUACCUGAAGAAUAAGCACCGGCUAACUACGUGCCAGCAGCCGCGGUAAUACGUAGGGUGCAAGCGUUAAUCGGAAUUACUGGGCGUAAAGCGUGCGCAGGCGGUUUUGUAAGUCUGUCGUGAAAGCCCCGGGCUCAACCUGGGAAUUGCGAUGGAGACUGCAAGGCUUGAAUCUGGCAGAGGGGGGUAGAAUUCCACGUGUAGCAGUGAAAUGCGUAGAGAUGUGGAGGAACACCGAUGGCGAAGGCAGCCCCCUGGGUCAAGAUUGACGCUCAUGCACGAAAGCGUGGGGAGCAAACAGGAUUAGAUACCCUGGUAGUCCACGCCCUAAACGAUGUCUACUAGUUGUCGGGUUUUAAUUAACUUGGUAACGCAGCUAACGCGUGAAGUAGACCGCCUGGGGAGUACGGUCGCAAGAUUAAAACUUAAAGGAAUUGACGGCUGAGAGNGCGAGACGACGACGAGGGAGAGG